rnacentral:rRNA from 1 species
AACGAACGCUGGCGGCAUGCCUAACACAUGCAAGUCGAACGAUCCCUUCGGGGAUAGUGGCGCACGGGUGCGUAACGCGUGGGAACCUGCCCUUAGGUUCGGAAUAACUCAGAGAAAUUUGAGCUAAUACCGGAUAAUGUCUUCGGACCAAAGAUUUAUCGCCUUUGGAUGGGCCCGCGUUGGAUUAGCUAGUUGGUGGGGUAAAGGCCUACCAAGGCGACGAUCCAUAGCUGGUCUGAGAGGAUGAUCAGCCACACUGGGACUGAGACACGGCCCAGACUCCUACGGGAGGCAGCAGUGGAGAAUAUUGGAAAAUGGGCGAAAGCCUGAUCCAGCAAUGCCGCGUGAGUGAUGAAGGCCUUAGGGUUGUAAAGCUCUUUUACCCGAGAUGAUAAUGACAGUGCCGGGAGAAUAAGCCCCGGCUAACUCCGUG